UAUUUUCUGGACCUCCAAGAGAAGCUUGAAUCCUAUGAUUGUGUCCUUUAUGAAAUGAUAGCUAGCAAGGAAACUAUAGAGAAUAUGAGAGAAGGAUCAGAAUCAUCAGAUGAUAGUGGUUUUGAUUUUGACAUUUUUGAAUUCAUCGCCAGACAGAUGACUCAAAUUCUCGGGUUUGCUUACCAAUUAGAUUGGCUAGAUUACCAGUCUGAAAAUUGGCAACAUGCAGAUCUUGAUGAGGAGACCUUCGAAUUACUUAUGGUUUUGAGUUGCUAAUAUUUUUCUUCAUUUUUGAGUUGAUUAUGAGGGCUAAUGAGUAAUGAUCAUUAAUUAUUGAGAUCUAUUUUUUCUCUUUUUAUUUCAGAAAUCAAAAGGUGAAAACUUAUUUUUUUUUGUAAACGAUAAGACUCUUGAAUCUAUUGAGGCGACGUUCCAGCCUUCCAUUCCGGAAGAUCUCGAUCCAUGGAGAUCCAAGCUUUUAUGGGCUUCAAAUGAACUUCCUAUGCCGCUUGUUGGCAAACUUAUCAUCAGUGGGGUUUGUGGAGAUUAUUCUGACACUGAGGCAUCGUCGAUGCUUGAUUUUAAUGCUUCCAUGAAGGCACUCAUUGCGAAGGUACUGACAUCUGAGUAAGUGCCUCUCAUCUCUCUCUCUCUCAACACACAAUUUGGUCCACUACAAAUUGAUACAAACUCUUUUUCAUGUAAGUUUUUGAGCCAUGAGCUUACUUAUGAUUUUGUCGACCGAGGACAUAUUUGGUGGUUAAUUUGGCAGAAUCACGAUGUGUCACUUGGAAUUUUGACAAAAGUGUCGACAAAACUAAAGUGUCAACUUGAUUUUGUAAAACUCAACAUGAUUCCUAACAUGCACCAAAAAUGCUAGCAUCAUACUCUCCUAUUACACUCUUCACAACAUAUUCUCUCCUAUUAGCUGAAAUUCACAUAGGUCCAACCAACUUGAUUUAUGAGGAACCUUUUGAAUUUCAACCAAUAAGAGUGUAUUGUGAAGAGUAUGUUGCUAGCACUCUUCUUGAAUCUUGAAAGUAUAGUUUAUGACAUGAAUCUUUGUUGAAAUUUUGUACCUCAAGAGAUUGCAUAAACAUAAUCAUAUCAUCUUUUGUUGAGACACCAACUAGAGUAUUAUUGAUGAUAAAACUAUUGUUAUGAAGUUUUGUACAAGAGCUAGAUGAGAAAUCUGUCAUAAUUGGUGAGAGAAAUCGAGUUGCAAUCGAGAGGCUCAGAAGUGCAAUGGAUAAUGGACACAAUAAGAUUGCCAUACUUUACGGCGGUGGCCACAUGCCAGAUCUCGGGAGGAGAUUGAAGGAAGAGUUCGAUUUAAUCCCGUCCGGCUUGGAAUGGAUAACAGCUUGGUCUAUAAGGAAAAGGAAAGUCAAUACCAGNNNNNNNNNNNNNNNNNUGACGACAAAAGCUAAAGCUUCUGGUUGGCCAUUGGACCGCUAUCAAACAUUGGCAUUACUCAUCUUUUCAUCAGUCUUGGCGUUGGAUUUGUGGAUUUGGGGGCUAUUGUUUGGCACCGCGGUGAAUUUGGUAUCUUACGUUGCCUCAGAAGUUUUUCUGUAUGUUGGUAAUUAAAAGAUGAUAUUAUCAUUGGAUUCAAAAAAUUCAUGCUAAUUACUAACUAGUAAAAAAAAUGAACUUGUUACAAUGUAAAAAUGAAAAUUUUAUCAAACAAAUGUAAAAUUCUAGCUAUUCUCAUUUCUCAAAGUUUUAAGAGCCUGAAAUGUUGUAGAUUUGUUGUAUCAUAGCAAGUGUUCUAUCUAUGGAACUAAUAAUCUCAUUUUGCCAAUAAUCUUGUAAAUGAUUACCUGAAUCAUUUUAUUCAUUUACAGUGCUCAAGAACACCAAAGUUAUUAUGUUACUUGGUCCCGUGUAUACGUCUCAUAGUUUUGUCAUUUGUAGAAGGCGUCUCUUUGGCUAAAAAAAUGUGUUGUUUAUAAACUAUCUUUAUCUUAAUUCUUAAAAAAUGUGAUCAGUAGUCCCUGGCGUCUGCACCUCGUGCAGGCCGUUUGACUAGAUCAGAUUUUUGCAUUUUUCUAUAAAUAAGAGUGUCUAGAAAAGACAUAUGGGUCGAUAUUUACACUAUUAAGAGCGGAAAACACGUUUUUUGAGAAGGCUAGGGGCCUAGGGCUGCUAAGAGUUGAAGAAUCACUCUGGAAAUAUGAAUCAACACCUUUGUUCAUCAUAAUUCAUGUAUUCAGUGGCGGAACCAGGAGAGGGCUGAGGUGGGCCGCGACGCUCUCAAAAAAUAGGAAAUUAAUAUAAUACCUUUGGGAUUUUUUAAAAUUACAUAUUUAUAAUACUAUAUAACUAGUUUAAAAUUACAUAUUUGAUAUUUAAGUUUAUCAUUAUAUUAAUGUAGAAAAUUUAUUUAUAAUAAAAUAUUUAAAUUUGUUAUAAAAUAUUUUUAAAUUACAUUUAAGUAAAAUUAUUGUAUUAUUUUUUGUAAAAUUUAUUUAUCCAAUUUUUUAUGUUUCAGAGACAAAUAGUGUAAUUUAGUAAAUUUGAUAGGAAUUAAAUUUAUUUUAUUAUUAUUAAUUGUUAGUAGUAAACUUGGUAAUGGUAGUAAUAUUAUUUAUUUUAUUUUUGAUGAAAAAUAUUGUUUUGAUGAAAAAUAUUGUUUUUUUUUUAAUAUAGUUAUUGUUUAUGUUACUAUUUCUAUAUUCUUAUUUUUAUAUAUUCAGCUGAUUAUUUCUAUAUUCUUUCCAUAAUUUAUUUUGAUCGACUAAACUCUCUAUAAUAUUUUUAUUGUUUUUUUCCUAUUUUUAUGCAUAGAUUCAUAUUUUUUUUUGUACUCAUCUUAUUUUUUCUACAUUUUUUGGUUUUUUUUUGUAUUUAUCUUAUAUUUUUUUUUCCGGUGAAAUUACGGUGAAUGAUGUAAAACUUGCAACGUGGUUAAAAGUAAUAAGGAUAAAUUUGUAAUUUUGGUGGUAAUCCAUUUUAAUAUAUUAGUAAUAGAUUUGGCAUAGUAGAGUAUUAUUUCCGGGUAUAUAAUUUAACUUUUUUAAUUAUCAAAUUGUUGCUUAUUAUGACUUAAUUUUUGUUUUUUCCGGCUAAUUAUAACUUAAUUUUUUAUAUGCAAUAUAUUUUUUUUUACGUAGUUAAUUUAUAUAUUAUACAUUUUUCUAACGGCCCACCUGGAAAAAUAUUUUUUGGUUCCGCCGCCGAAUAUAUUCCUUCUUAGACUUAUUUGCUAUGAUUAAUUCUAUUAUGAGUAGCUAAGUUUCUUUAGAUUAGGUUCAUUGAUGAUAUUCCUUGGAUCGACUUGAAACAUGUAAACUAUUGAGGAUCUUAUGAUGCAAUUUUAAUCUUAAUUAUUCAGUUAUUUUUGUGUGUAUUGUUUUUUAUAAGUUGACCAAUUUAUGAAUCGAUAUUAGGAAUCAAAUGGUUAUAACUUAACUUUUGAAACUAGAAUCCGAGAUAAUUGUUCGGUCAAUAAUUACUUUAGACAUAUCGAAUUAUUAAACUGUGAUAUUUAGAAUUAACGAUCGAUAAAACUUUCCAUGAUUUUGAAUUCACCUAACACAUUAUGGUAUUAUUAUUUUAGAAAAGGGUUCUUAGUUAGGACACUGAUCUUUUUUUUAAUCAACAAAUAUAUUAUAAAUUCAACCAUAAGUAUAAGACAUACAAAUGGCGAGAGAAAGGGUACAAAAUUACAAAUAAAUGCAGCAGAAUAACAACACCAAAUGAAACAACAUCAAUUCAAAUCAAGAAGUAUACAAUAAUGUCCUACACAAACCAAUUAACUUCAUCUCCUGCCCAAAACGAUACUGAACUAAAGUAGAAACAAAAGCUCUCCCACGAAAACCAAUUAACUCCAUCCUCUGCCCAGAACGAUACUGAACUGAAGAAGACAACCAAACACACUCCAUACAGAUAUGAGCAAAUUGCAACCCACCAAGGAAACCGGCUCACUGGUCUAUGCAAAAAGUCAACAUUUGCAAUCUGAUUGUGUGGCGACCGAAGAAGACACCGUUAAUUCAUUGUGAUAUUAAGAGAGAAAUUGUAGUCUAAGACAACGUUUAUUCAAAAAAAAAAAAAGACAGCGUUUACUAAAUUAUGAAGAGGAAGAGAUUCAAAUGACCUAAUCAUCUCUAUUCCAUUUGAAAUCUAUAUACCUAUAUAUAAAGAGAAUACAAAAGUUUUUGGUGUGGACUUUUCAUAAUACCAACAAUACCUUUGGUUUUUUUUAUUUUAUCAACAAAAAUCUUUUAUGUUUUAUCUAUACCUAUAUAUUAAGAGGAUACAAAAGUUUUUGGUGUGGACUUUUCAUAAUACCAACAAUACCCUUGAUUUUUUUUUAUUUUAUUAGCAAAAAUCUUUUAUUAACAAACUCACCAAAACAUAAAAUAUAUAUUUUUUUAACAGCAAAAAUCUUUUAUUAACAAACUCACUAUAACAUAAGACACUUUUAAAAUUCUUUUUUACGUAAAUUUACGCGCCUAUCUGGCCACUGGUAACCAAUAAAUCAAAUAUAUGUUCAACAUACCCCUGCAUUUACAUCUUACAAUUGAAUUGUUUAGUUGAAAUUAGAACAAUCCAUAUAACGAUAGUUUGAUACGCUUGCUAAAUUAUUCAUCAAUCCUCAUCAUAUCAAUUAUUUAUUUAUCUUGUGACUAGCAAAAGAAGUGACAAAGGUUUACCACAACAACAGAGAACAACAACAAAAAUGAUUUUAACUUCAAAGAAUAACAGAUGUAGAGGAGAAAUCUGUUGUUAUUGGUGAGAGAAAUCGAGUUGCAAUCGAGAACCUCAAAAGUGCAAUGGAUAAGGGACAC
rnacentral:lncRNA from 1 species